rnacentral:lncRNA from 1 species
GGUCCGGCCGGAGGACAAGGAAGCGUGGAAGAAGGAAGAACUGCCGAAGCUGCCGAAGCAACGUUCGCGGGAAGUCUAACCGCCUGAAGCACGUUGCAGAGUCGAGACCAGUUGAGCGGCCGGAAUUUUACGAACGAUUAUGCAAGCGUACGUCUUGAGGACGACCAUGAGCCACAUAUCAUCUCAAAUUUCUGCCCGUCAAGCCUUGUGACGAAACGGAAUCGGACUUCUUCCAAGGCGCGGAUCCUAAAGUUGUUUGGAUCGCAGAGUGACGCGGAAACCCAGUGACAGUAAGCGGGUGCUAGUACCUCCGACGAGAUGAGUGACUGCCCGGGAGGGCUGGAGGAAGCUUGUAUGAGACAGAUGGCCUCCUUGGCGAAUUGUAACCGGCAGACCUUCAAACCGCACAAAGGCUAAGCAACGCCACAACUGGAUGCAGCAAGACUAAAAGCUUUAUAAUAUACUGUAAGGACUAUGGCUUUAUAAUAAGCCUUUUAUAGCAAAACAUACUGAUCUGAAAAGCGUUGUUUGUGGUUAUUUUAAAGUGGUGUACGGAAACUUCGUCGUAUUGUAUUAAUUCUGGUUCACUGCACAGUUAAAAGGUUUGUCUUCGUUUGCUGCCAGAGAAAUAUAGCUUGCGAUGAACUAAAUCAAAGUUAUGACUGCUGGUGUCAUGUACAUAUUCAGAACUUUUUUUUAUUAAAAUAAUUGUAAUCAAGUGUUUUUAUGGGUUUUAGCACUGUGAUUAAGAUGCGUCAAUGUGUUUUCUAAGAAAGACUACUAAUUUGCAGUUUGUAUCUUCUCCUAAAAUAGUUUGUAGAUCUGAGCAUGUAUUCAUACCUGAAUAUGUGCCAGGCAUUCCCCAGUAUGUGUAUAAUUGUUUACUAGGCCUGUAAGCUUCCCCACUACAUCAUUGCCGCAAUGUUAGCGCUUCCCAGCUAUUAUUCGAGAGAGAUAAGUGUUUCUCAUGAUCAAUUAGGUUGAGAUUGUUUAGCGUUAAUGUUUUUGAGUCCCCCAUUUUUAAUUCCUGACAGAGCGCUUCAAUGUCCGUUUAUUUUUGGUUUGCCGCUAUUUAUCACCACAAGCAAAAACAUCACGCCACUGGGAUUAACCUGAAGCUCACCUCAUGAUUAACGACGCUGCCGUCCACUGUCUUAAGGUGGGCCUACGUUCAUGGGUACUUGUCUAGUGGUUCUGGAGUUGAUGUUGCUGAGAUAACCGAGACGCCGAUUUCUACGAUGGCCUCUGUCAGCAUCAUGGUCAAUUACAGCUGGCCCGAGCCCGAACCAGGCCAAUCAACGUGCUGGCCCGAGCCCGGCCCGGGCCCACAGUCAAAAGUCUGAGCCCAUCCCAGGCCUGGGCUUUCGGCUCAGCAAAGUCUGCGGAUCUGGUUAUGCUUCCUGUACGAGACAGAUCACGAAGCGGUUGCUGACUGACCAGUUGGGGCGAAAAUUUUUGUGGGAAAGACGUAAGAGAAAGUUGACAUUCAGGAACCUUCACCUUGCUGAGUGCAUCAUAAAUGCAGUGCAGAGCUGCCAUAAAUGUGAAGACUUCAAGGUAGAAACCAUGGUCACGGAUUAACUUCGCCACGCACAUGCCUGACAUCAGUCAUCUCAAAUGGAACAUUCUCCACCACAGGAGAGAGAGAUGUGAAGUGCCUUAAGUGGGCCUUCAUUGCGCUGAGCUUUUUAUUAUGUUUAUCAGACAUUUUUUUUAAGCAAAGUAUCCUGCAUUGUUCAGUAAGUAUACUUUAUUUUGAAAACCUCAUGCUGUCUAUGCAGCAUUGUUCAAAAAUUAUACUUUAUUUUAAAAGCAUCAAGCACUGCUCGUCUGUCUAACAGUAACAAUAAAGAGUUAAUGGUGA